rnacentral:misc_RNA from 1 species
AACAAGGCGUACCUGCGGACCUGCGGAGGGAUCAUUAACGAGUGUAACCUAUCCUUUUAAAAAAUGGGUGGUACCUCCCGUCCUUUGCGGGCCCCCUUCUUUUAUUAAGGGGGGGGCUUUUAAGACUUUCUGCUUCGGCGGGGUUAUUCCCGCCGGAACACCUUCAAAAAACUCUUGAUCAAAAAACUGUUCAGUCCGAGAAUUUUUGAAAAUUAAAACAAAACUUUCAACAACGGAUCU